CCUUGAAUAAACUGCUUUGCAGCAGCCACCACGGCCCCUGGCUCUUUUUCUAAUUCCUUAUACUUGCCUUUAGGCUUGCUUGUUCCUUUAGGUCUUUACUGCAUCAUUCCAGAGAGACCUUCUGUGCCAUACGCUACAGUUCCACCCCCUCUUAUGCCGCUUAGCACUCACCAUUGCCCAACAUAGGAGCUGUUUUAUGUCUUCCUCUUGAUUCUCACUGUUUCCUGCUUUGGAGCAUAAGCUGGACAGAGAAUACCAUCGGAGCUCCUCUGGAACAUGUCCUUGUCUUCUCAGAGUGUGAAGUGUGUGUGUGACAGUGCUUUUCUGAGGACUCAGGUGACCUGGAGGCUGGAGAACAGCAUGGAGCAAGGAAAACAAAGACGAUGUGCUGGAGUGUAUGUUGCUUUCAUAAUUAUGUGAAAGAAAAUGUAGAGAAAUUUGAAAGGAGAACUGGUUAUCAGUAGUGCCAUCCUGCUCAAAUAUCUUCAAAUACACACCACCAUCCAUGUGUGGGUUGAUUAAGGAGCUGACGUUCAUUAGAUCUGCAGUCUCCUGACCUGAUGUGCAUCAGAAUCACUGGGAGAACAAACAAACAAAAAUGAAUCCAAAACAAGCAACGAACAGACAGAUUCUCAAGUCUUGCCAAGUCCAAAGAUUGAUUUGGUGGAGAAAUUGUACUUUGAAAGCUGCCCAGACCUGUGCAAGCAUCCUGCCUCAUUCCAUUUGGCUGAAGCUCCUGCUCCACUUCUUGCUGGGCUGUGACCAUUCAGGAUCCCCCACUGUCCACCAGAGUCAGCACCUAAAAGGAGAGAAAAUCUUUUUCUGUCUGGUGUUUUUCAAAAUUUUGAUGAUGGACUCACAUCAAGGAUGAAGAGCUUUGAUGUCAUUUGAACACCACCACCAUCACCACCACCAGCAUCAACAAACAAACAAGCAAACAAGCGUGAACUCAGGAGCCCUGUGGCCCAGCCUCCAGUCCAUUUCCUCACUGUGAUCUGGCUAAGUCACCUCCCCUCCACCUCAGUUCAGUCACCUACACAACAGGAAUGGUGGCUCCUGGCGUGAAAAGUUCUUAGGAGCAUUCAGCAUGAUGCUGUGUGGAGCACUUGGAAACUGCGUGUGCAUCACCUCAUAUUUCUGGCCACAGGUCAUUCAGACAUCUGCCCUUUGCCCUGGAGGAGAACCACUAGGGACUUGUGCCCAUAAGCACCAAUUCUGGCUUUUACCCUACCCAUCCUUUGCCAUCCCAAACUAUGCCAUCAACAAAUUCUAGAAAUCAAGUUAGAAAUGCUGUUCCCACGAGGGUCUCUGUGGUCUCUCAGAACAACAAUCAGCUGGCCCUGCUGGGCAGAUGUUGCCCAAUCCUAACCCACACUUAGCUAUCAACUUAAUCAUUCUCAACUAAAAACACCUACCUGAACACUUUUAGGGGUUAAGAAUAGUAUAAUCUCACUUAGCCAUUUGCAUUUUUUCUUCUUUUUACAAAAAGAAAUUUAUCUUUUUUUUUUUUUGAGACGGAGUCUUGCUCUGUUGCCCAGGUUGGAGUGCAGUGGCGCAAUCUUGGCUCACUGCAAGCUCCGCCUCCUGGGUUAGCGCCAUUCUCCUGCCUCAGCCUCCCGAGUAGCUGGGACUACAGGUGCCUGCCACCACGCCUGGCUAAUUUUUUUGUAUUUUUAGUAGAGACGGGGUUUCACCGUGUUAGUCAGGAUCGUCUUGAUCUCCUGACAUCGUGAUUCGCCCUCCUCAGCCUCCCAAAGUGCUGGGAUUACAGGCGUGAGCCACUGCGCUCUGCCAAGAAUAGUAUAAUCUCACUUAGCCAUUUGUAUUUUUUCUUCUUUUUACAAAAAGAAAUUUAUCUCAUUAUUAUGUUUAAUCAGUUUCUUGAGGUAUAACUUAAGUGUGCUAAAAUUUGCUCUUUUUAGUGUACAGGUCUAGGAUUUUUGAGAAACACAUAUUCAUAUGUGACCACCCCCAUGAUCAACAUAUGGAACAGUCAUUUGCCACCCAAAAUUACCUUGUGCCCUUUUGUUGUCAGACUCUUCUUUCUCCAGACCCUGGCAACCACUGAUGGAUUUUCUGUCCCUAUAGUUUUGCCUUUUCCAGAAUGUUCUGCAAAUGUAAUCAUUUAGUAUGUAGCCUUUUAAGUCUGAUUUCUUUCACUCUGCAUAAUGCAUUUGAGAUUCACCCACGUUGUUACCUGUUACAAUGGUUUGUUCCUUUUUAUUGCGGAGUAAUAUUCCCUUGCAUGGAUGUACCACAGUUUGGGUAACCAUUCAACAGUCAAAUGAGAUUGAAUUUGUUUCCAUUUUUUGGUGAUUAUAAAUACAGCUAUAAACAUUUGUGAAAGUGUUUUGUAUGUACAUACAUUUUUCUUAGACAUUUGGUUUUAAGAGAUGUAUUUAGGUUUAGUUCCAGAUGAACAAUGAGAGACUGAAAGACUUAAGGGACCCCUGAGAAGAGCAGAGGGAAUAUUCCCUGAGGCAGCCAUCAGUCAGACCUGGCCCUGUCAUUUAAAUGUGGGCUAGUGGUAGCAAGAUGCUGUUAUUAUUUUCACCAAGGACAUUUUUUGAGUAGCAAUUAAAAUGAAGUCUAUUUCUCUGAGCCCCUGGAGAAGAACAUAAGCACAUGAUGGUAACCAUCAAUUUAGUGGGCCUAACGUUAUCUAGGUGGUUAAUGUUUCCAUGGCUUCUGGCAAUUCCCAGUGUAAGUCACCUGUGUAUACUGGGUGGAUGCUUCUUUAAAUUAAAGAUAAGCUGUUCAGCUUAAUAACAGCUAAGGGAGAAUAUAGAGCCCGUGGGUGAACUGUUUACUAACAAGCUUCUUCAGGGUCAUUCAACUUGAAUGAACUCUCUUUUAGGCUAACUUGGUUUGUGGAGGGAAUGCAUGUUUCUUAGUUAAAAUAGUUACAUUGGAAUCCCAACUGUGCACAGGACUUCAAGGGUAAUUAUGAACCCCCACUGCAGAUUUCAGGCUUAGCACCAAUUCUCCUUGCUUUCUACUUGUAUCCAUCAAAAACAGAAGUUACGAUGGAGUUACAGCUAUACUUGUAAGGGUCUCAGUGAACCUCUCCCACUAUUCUGCCUUAUCACCUUUGGGUUCCUGUGUUCUCUACCCCCUCCCCACUGCAUGUUUUCAUUCAGCCAGGAAACAUUUACUGCCUGCCUGGUAUCAAGCCCUUGCAUGAGGGUGGGAGCUCAUAAAGAUGACUACACUAGAGAAUCAUUUGACCUUUCUCAUGUAGACCUCAACAUGAAUGAGUUUCAAUGCUGAUAGGGCAAUCAUUACCUUCAGACAAAUUUUCAGGAACAGCCAAGACUAGAGAAUGUAUGGCUAAAACACAGCACUAUGCAUUUAUAAUAGUCAUGGGUUCUCCUGUUUUAAUUGUACAUGGAGAAUAUUUCAGCUUUAUUUGUAUGGGCUGCUCUUAUGUAAAACAUUAUUUCAAUGAGGAAAUGUGUUUGGGGUUCUAAAUGACUAACUUACAAACACAACUUUGAAUAAAGUCCAUGAAUAAUUUGAGGAUUUAUGUCUAUCAAUGGCUGAUUUACCAGAUUGUUGGCUUUGGGUUUAUUGGUAUCCAUGUUGAGAGGCAUCAGAUCAUCCAAGGUUUAAGUUUCGUCCUGACCACUGACUAGCAUUGAGACCUUAAUGGGAUUAAUAACAAUGAUAAUGAUAGUGACAAGAGCUAGCUUUUCAUGAGCACAGUGGCUAAGAGAGUUAGCAUCAGUUCUAGCUGCUUUCAUUGACAUAGAUGUAAAUGGGGAGGGAAACCAUGACUAGACUCAAAUCUCUGCUCUAACGUCUGAUACCUGAAUAUCACUUUGCAAGCCACGUCAUCUCUCUAAGUUGUAGCUCUUUGUCUGAAAAAUGUGGAUAGUUAAUACAUUAUAAAUAAAUUAUUAUUACAUUAAUACACAGAAAUUCAUAAUGCUAUUGUGGGGAUUACAUGAGAUGAUGGAAGUAUUUAAUCUAGUGUCUUGUAUAUGGCAAAUAAAAAAUAAAUAUUCACUGCUGUUAAU
rnacentral:lncRNA from 1 species